GAUGAACGCUAGCUACAGGCUUAACACAUGCAAGUCGAGGGGCAGCACAGUGUAGCAAUACAUGGGUGGCGACCGGCGCACGGGUGCGUAACGCGUAUCCAACCUUCCCGAUACUCUUGGAUAGCCUUCCGGAAGGGAGAUUAAUACAAGAUGGUGUUUCAAUUCCGCAUGUUAUUGAAACUAAAGAUUUAUCGGUAUCGGAUGGGGAUGCGUGACAUUAGAUAGUAGGCGGGGUAACGGCCCACCUAGUCUACGAUGUCUAGGGGUUCUGAGGGGAAGGUCCCCCACACUGGAACUGAGACACGGUCCAGACUCCUACGGGAGGCAGCAGUGAGGAAUAUUGGUCAAUGGUCGGAAGAUUGAACCAGCCAAGUAGCGUGAAGGAUGAAGGUUCUAUGGAUUGUAAACUUCUUUUAUACGGGAAUAAAACCUCCCACGUGUGGGAGCUUGUAUGUACCGUAUGAAUAAGCAUCGGCUAACUCCGUGCCAGCCGCCGCUGUAACAC
rnacentral:rRNA from 1 species